AUGUGUAAAAGUUAUAUAAUAAAUAAGGAUCGAAUUGAAAAACAAAAAAAAGUCGUUGAUGGGUGUAAUGACACAAACAUGAAUAAGAAUGGUAACGAAUGUGAUAAUACUAAUUGUGAGAGUAAUAUAACUAGAUAUAGCGAUAAUGAUCAAACUAGUUCUUGUGAUAAUAACAAAAAACUUUUUUCCCUUAAUAUUUUUAUCACACACAAAACUGAUUUUGUUAAAAUGCAUAACGUAUUUAUUCCGUUCAUUGAAUUAUGUAAUGAGAAAAAUAAAUGGACUAACCAUAAAAAAAUAAAUACUCGAAAAAAUACAAAAAAGCAAGAUAGUUUUAAACCAAUAAAUAUAAAAACAAAUUUAUUAAAAAAAUAUUUUACUUUAAAAAAAAACAAAUUUUCUAUAGAUAGAUAUAGUCGUAUGUUAGAAAAUGUAAAAAUAAAAAAAAUAAUGAAUUUAUUACUUAAAAGUGUGAAAAUAAAACAUGGUAAAACACGACUAUUUAAGGAACGACUGCUUAAGAAAAAACGCUCCAAGCAAUUGGCCCAUUUAGAACAAAGGAAAUCACAAUGGAAAGUAAAAAAUAAAAAAGCUAAUAAGAAAAAAUAUACAUACUAUAGCAAUAACUUUUUAGAUUUAAAAAAAAAUUUAAUUAAAAAAAAAACAUUAAAAACGUAUUAUGCAUUAAAAAAAAGUGUUUUGUUAUGGAAACAGACAUAUAAACAAAACUUGGGCCAAAAAUACAAGGAAAAUUCUAGUAUAAACAAAAAUAAAUACAAAAUACUGCUAAAAGUAAGUGUUAAACUAUUAGUUAGUAACACAUUUAUCGCACAUAUUGUUUAUGUAAAUAAAAAUAAAAAAAAAUUUGCUGAACAAUUUUUAGGUAAAUAUAAAUUAAAUGUUAGUGAUUUUUUUUUACCAUUUAAAGCAAGUACUCAAUAUUGGAAGUAUAUUUUUGAAGAUGUGUGGAAUGGAAGAUUUUCGAAAAUGUAUAAAUCAGUUAAAUAUCUAAAUAUGACAUCCAGUAAAGUUUUAAACAUUAUUCAAACAAAAUUACAUCCAUUUUUAAUUCAUGAAAAACCUGAAAUAAAAAAUAUAAACAUAUAUAAUUUUUUUAAAUACAAAAUGUAUAUAGGGAAAAAUUACAAUUUAAAUGAUAUAUAUUAUGCUUAUGAUAUUAAUAAAAAAAAAAUUAAUAAAAAAUUACCUGAUCAGUUCUAUAUAGACAACUAUUCUAUUAAUUCAAGCGACACUGAUAUAGAAACUAAUGUAGACCAAAAUAAUAAAAUACAUUUGAAUAAAAAUCGACACAAAACAAAUAAUUUUUUUAACAAAUGCUACAAACCGAAAAUGCUACAUCUGUUGUUUCAAACCGGUUUAGGAAGUUUGUGUAAUGAUCAUGAAUAUGAGCAUAUGUGUGAGUAUACAGACAUGCAUAAAAAUGAAAAGACAAAUAUAAUAACAAACGAAUCUUUUCUUAAAAAAGAAAAAACUAAAAUACUGAAUAAUGGUAAAAUCGGGUUUGCGAUGGGAAUCGAUAAUAAUAAUAAUAAUAAUUUUUGCUCAUUUAAGUAUAAAAAAGGGAUCAACUACAAAUUUUAUAUUAGUAACAAUAUAAUUAUAAAAAAUAAUAGAAAAAAAAAAAUAAUAAUAAAAAAAUAUAAAUCAAAAUUUAAAAUUUAA
rnacentral:lncRNA from 1 species